UUUAACCCGGCCCUUCAGCAGUCUCGCAGGCUCCUGCUCACACACUGUCGCGGGCCAUCGCGAAAGCCCUGGUGACAAGCAGCUGGUCACUCAGGGCGCUCAGGACCUUCCCAGGCGCCACGGGGACCCCGGGAAACUUUCAGCAGGACCCGUGUCCUGACGCUUUGCAGACAGCGCCAUCCUCCACCCGCAAGCGCUCCAUCCUUUGUGAAACCAUCCUUCCUGGAUGGACCCCAGGAGGCAUCCAGUCAUUUGCCGUCAUCUGCAACACCACAGUGAACAGUGUGUGCUCACAGCUUUGCUGGCAUUGCGUCAUCGCAGGGCUGUUCCAGAGAGAGCUCAUUGAAACAAGGGCAUGAGCAUUGUGUUGCAGGCCAUUCUCAAGUGGCACUUCAAGUCCUCCCCGCAGUGGAAGGUGUGCAGCUGGUGGCAUACAGAGCAUCUAGCAGUAGAUUCUAAGGCCCUAGGGAAUGAUGGAGCCUCAAUAUGGAAAGAGCCUGGGUUCCUGAAUGACAGCAAGGAACAGAGUGCUGCCAGUGAAAAUCAUGUUCUUUCACAGAGUCGCAAGGAAAACAUUUUGAGAGAACCACACGUAGGGGGGAUGUGGUAUGGUCAGGUUCUAAGGCGGCCCCUGGGUGCCCAAUGUUCACCUCCAUCUAUCCCACCAUGGAAAAGGUCCAGCCUCAUCUUCAUCAAGGCCAAAACAAAGGCCAGUGUCCAACGAUCCUGUGCCAUUGGUUCGGCAUCAGCAGUCUUGGACCCUGUCCUGGUAGCAUAGUGCUGUUCUUGGCUGCAGUCCACUGCUGUGCUGCUAUACCCAAGCUCCUGCUUGGACCCU